CGCUCGGGAAAGGGGAAAGGCAGAAAGGAAUCCGUGCUCCAGCAGGGCCGGAAACGGGACAGCCAGGCUGGGGCACUGCCGGCUCACCCUGCACCACCCCGAAGCGGGGGCGCUGACAGCGGUGGGAAUGGGGAGGGGAUGGAUGGUGGGAAUGGGGAUGGAUGGUGGGAAUGGAGAGGGGAUGGAUGGUGGGCAUGGAGAGGGGAUGGAUGGUGGGCAUGGGGAUGGAUGGUGGGAAUGGGGAUGGAUGGUGGGAAUGGAGAGGGGAUGGAUGGUGGGCAUGGGGAGGAAUGGUGUGUACGGGGAUGGAUGGUGAGCAUGAGGAUGGGUGGUGGGCAUGGAGAAGAUGGAUUCUGGGCACGGGGAGGAAAUGGAUGGUGGGUAUGGAGAGGGGAUGGAUGGUGAGCAUGGAGAGGGGAUGGAUGUUGGGUAUGGGGACGGAUAAAUGGUUUGUAUGGGGAUGGAUGGAUGGUGAGCAGGGGCAGAGGAUGGUAUGUACAGGGAUGGAUGGUGGGCACGGGGAUGGAUGGUGGGCAUGGGGAGGGGAUGGAUGGUGGGCAUGGGGAGGAAUGGUGUGUACGGGGAUGGAUGGUGAGCAUGAGGAUGGGUGGUGGGCAUGGAGAAGAUGGAUUCUGGGCACGGGGAGGAAAUGGAUGGUGGGUAUGGAGAGGGGAUGGAUGGUGAGCAUGGAGAGGGGAUGGAUGUUGGGUAUGGGGACGGAUAAAUGGUUUGUAUGGGGAUGGAUGGAUGGUGAGCAGGGGCAGAGGAUGGUAUGUACAGGGAUGGAUGGUGGGCACGGGGAUGGAUGGUGGGCACGGGGAUGGAUGGUGGGCACGGGGAUGGAUGGUGGGCACGGGGAUGGAUGGUGGGCACGGGGAUGGAUGGUGGGCACGGGGAUGGAUGGUGGGCACGGGGAUGGAUGGUGGGCACGGGGAUGGAUGGUGGGCACGGGGAUGGAUGGUGGGCACGGGGAUGGAUGGUGGGCACGGAGAGGGGAUGGAUGGUGGCCAGCGCAUCCCCGCCGCUGCCCGGGGCCGCUCCGCACGUGCCCGCACCCCGGCUGCGAGCAUGAGAAAAAGCCUCCAAGGGGGUGUCAGACGCAGUUACAGUGAAACACGAUAUUUAUAACAAAGUGUGGGGGAAGGUGUCACAUCACAUUACGCUGAUGCUCCGGCGCCCGAGACGGAGCGGGAUGUGGGGCGGGCCACAGGCAGCGGGAGGAGCGGCUGUGCCAGCGCUGGCUCCUCGCUGGAGCCCACCCCAGCGGGGCUUUCCCCGGGCAGGAGGGCAGGGCAGGUCUGGAAUACCC
rnacentral:lncRNA from 12 species